rnacentral:rRNA from 1 species
AUACGGAGGGUGCAAGCGUUAAGCGGAAUCACUGGGCGUAAAGCGCGCGCAGGCGGCUAUUUAAGUUGGAUGUGAAAGCCUACGGCUCAACCGUAGAACUGCAUCCAAAACUAUUUAGCUAGAGUGUGGGAGAGGAAGAUGGAAUUAGUUGUGUAGGGGUAAAAUCCGUAGAGAUAACUAGGAAUACCAAAAGCGAAGGCAACCUUCUGGAACACUACUGACGCUGAGGCGCGAAGGCGUGGGGAGCAAACAGGAUUAGAAACCCGAGUAGUCC